GUUUCUCUCUCUCUCUCUCUCUCUGUGUGCGCGGAGCUCCGCUGCAGCCCGAAUACACCAGGGCCACUCCCUGAUCUCGCCUCUUAAUACAAGAGCCCAGCCCAGUCUCUCAACGCUGCCAUUAACCACCGCACAGCGACAGCGGCACAGACCCGCACAGAGAAAGAGAGAGAGGGGGGACAGGACAGGACAAAACACGAGCAGUGAGCGGCUACCAAGACAAGCACACGCGGGGGCUUUCCGGAAAAAAAGCACCGGGAGAAGGUUAAGCAGACACGGCAUUCUGGAAAGCAUGAGAGAGAUUCCCGACGCGUUAAUUCGGGAGAGCUGAGCUGGGAGCUGGGAGACACGCACAGGUUGGACGACAGAAAGACGUUCAGAAAGCAAAGUGACCUUGAAGAGAGAUCGAGCAGCAGUGCUAGGAUUGGACUCGUGGAAAUAAUCUUUGUGU